rnacentral:rRNA from 1 species
GACGAACCGUGCAAACGUUGUUCGGAAUCACUGGGCUUAAAGGGCGCGUAGGCGGGUUCGCAAGUCUGUGGUGAAAGCCCCCAGCUUAACUGGGGAAGUGCCGUGGAUACUGCGAGUCUUGAGGAGGGUAGGGGCAUCUGGAACACUGGGUGGAGCGGUGAAAUGCGUUGAUAUCGAUAGGAACUCCGGUGGCGAAGGCGGCAUACUGGUCCACUUCUGACGCUGAGGCGCGAAAGCCAGGGGAGCAAACGGG